ACUUUCAACAACGGAUCUCUUGGUUCUGGCAUCGAUGAAGAACGCAGCGAAAUGCGAUAAGUAGUGUGAAUUGCAGAAUUCAGUGAAUCAUCGAAUCUUUGAACGCACAUUGCGCCCCUNUGGUAUUCCAUGGGGCAUGCCUGUUCGAGCGUCAUUUG
rnacentral:rRNA from 1 species